rnacentral:rRNA from 1 species
CUUAGUACGGCGAGUGAGCGGUAAAAGCUCAAAUUUGAAAUCUGGUACUUUCAGUGCCCGAGUUGUAAUUUGUAGAAUUUGUCUUUGAUUAGGUCCUUGUCUAUGUUCCUUGGAACAGGACGUCAUAGAGGGUGAGAAUCCCGUUUGGCGAGGAUACCUUUUCUCUGUAAGACUUUUUCGAAGAGUCGAGUUGUUUGGGAAUGCAGCUCAAAGUGGGUGGUAAAUUCCAUCUAAAGCUAAAUAUUGGCGAGAGACCGAUAGCGAACAAGUACAGUGAUGGAAAGAUGAAAAGAACUUUGAAAAGAGAGUGAAAAAGUACGUGAAAUUGUUGAAAGGGAAGGGCAUUUGAUCAGACAUGGUGUUUUUUGCAUGCACUCGCCUCUCGUGGGCUUGGGCCUCUCAAAAAUUUCACUGGGCCAACAUCAAUUCUGGCAGCAGGAUAAAUCAUUAAGAAUGUAGCUACUUCGGUAGUGUUAUAGCUUUUUGGAAUACUGUUAGCCGGGAUUGAGGACUGCGCUUCGGCAAGGAUGUUGGCAUAAUGGUUAAAUGCCGCCCGUCUUG